AUGCACGCUGGCGGCGUGCCUAAUACAUGCAAGUCGAGCGAACGGACGAGAAGCUUGCUUCUCUGAUGUUAGCGGCGGACGGGUGAGUAACACGUGGAUAACCUACCUAUAAGACUGGGAUAACUUCGGGAAACCGUAGCUAAUACCGGAUAAUAUUUUGAACCGCAUGGUUCAAAAGUGAAAGACGGUCUUGCUGUCACUUAUAGAUGGAUCCGCGCUGCAUUAUCUAGUUGGUAAGGUAACGGCUUACCAAGGCAACGAUGCAUAGCCGACCUGAGAGGGUGAUCGGCCACACUGGAACUGAGACACGGUCCAGACUCCUACGGGAGGCAGCAGUAGGGAAUCUUCCGCAAUGGGCGAAAGCCUGACGGAGCAACGCCGCGUGAGUGAUGAAGGUCUUCGGAUCGUAAAACUCUGUUAUUAGGGAAGAACAUAUGUGUAAGUAACUGUGCACAUCUUGACGGUACCUAAUCAGAAAGCCAUGGCUAACUACGUG
rnacentral:rRNA from 1 species